UACGGAGGGGGGCUAGCGUUGUUCGGAAUUACUGGGCGUAAAGCGCGCGUAGGCGGACCUGCAAGUCGGGGGUGAAAGCCCGAGGCUCAACCUCGGAACUGCCUUCGAUACUGCGGGUCUCGAGUCCGGGAGAGGUGAGUGGAAUUCCUAGUGUAGAGGUGAAAUUGUAGAUAUUAGGAAGAACACCAGUGGCGAAGGCGGCUCACUGGCCCCGGUACUGACGCUGAGGCG
rnacentral:rRNA from 1 species